CUCGGGCCGUGGGCAGGCACCGGGGGCGGGCGGCGGUGGCGGGGGGCUCCCCGCAAAGCGCCAGGCGGGUGCCUUUCCACAAAAGCAGCAUGAUCUCUGAAUUUCCUCUUCUUGGUGGAGGAAUAUCCUGGAGCACAGGGCCACGCCGCAAGAAAAAUGGCCGCAUUUACUGUACACCAAGGGCCUCCCCCGGACCCCGAUCCGAUACGCCGUGGACCUGAGGGGCUCUCCGCGAGGCCGUGUACCGCGUGGCGGCCCCGAGGCUGCUGGAUCGGUCGUGGCCAGACAUCCGGUCGCGAUUUCAGCGUGACGUGGCCCGCACGGUUGGCCAGGGCAGGGAUGCCGGAAUAAAGGGAGUUGAUAAGGACCCCUA
rnacentral:lncRNA from 1 species